rnacentral:misc_RNA from 1 species
AUGAAUAAAUUUGGUCAAGCUGUUGCUGGUCCUUCGGGGCAUGUGCACGUUUGCCACCAACUUUAACCACCUGUGCACUCUUUGUAGACUGGAAACGUUUCUCGGGGCAACUCGGAUUGAGAACUGCUGUGUGCAAACCAGCUGUUCUUGUGUUUCUCAGUCUAUGUUUUCAUAUACGCCUUAGUAUGUAUUAGAAUGUAUUGCUAGGCCUUAGUGCCUUUAAAUCAAAUA